rnacentral:rRNA from 1 species
UACGGAGGGUGCAAGCGUUGUUCGGAAUUAUUGGGCGUAAAGCGCGUGUAGGCGGUUCGUUAAGUCUGAUGUGAAAGCCCUGGGCUUAACCUGGGAAGUGCAUUGGAAACUGGCGAACUUGAGUAUGGGAGAGGGUAGUGGAAUUCCUAGUGUAGGAGUGAAAUCCGUAGAUAUUAGGAGGAACACCGGUGGCGAAGGCGGCUGCCUGGACCGAUACUGACGCUGAGACGCGAAAGCGUGGGGAGCAAACAGGAUUAGAAACCCCUGUAGU